rnacentral:rRNA from 1 species
AGAGUUUGAUCCUGGCUCAGAGUGAACGCUGGCGGCGUGCUUAACACAUGCAAGUCGAACGAGAACGGAUUAUAGCUUGCUAUAAUUGCCAGCUAAGUGGCGCACGGGUGAGUAAUAUAUAGGUAAUGUGCCUCUUACUAAGGGAUAACAGAUGGAAACGUCUGCUAAUACCUUAUAUUCUUUUAUGCAGAAGUAUAGAAGGGAAAGAUUUAUCGGUAAGAGAUCAGCUUGUACAGUAUCAGUUAGUUGGUGGGGUAAUGGCUUACCAAGACUAUGACGCUUAACUGGUUUGAGAGGAUGAUCAGUCACACUGGAACUGAGACACGGUCCAGACUCCUACGGGAGGCAGCAGUGGGGAAUAUUGCACAAUGGACGAAAGUCUGAUGCAGCAACGCCGCGUGGAGGAUGACACAUUUCGGUGCGUAAACUCCUUUUAUAUGAGAAGAUAAUGACGGUAUCAUAUGAAUAAGCACCGGCUAACUCCGUGCCAGCAGCCGCGGUAAUACGGGGGGUGCAAGCGUUACUCGGAAUCACUGGGCGUAAAGAGCAUGUAGGCGGAUUGAUAAGUUUGAAGUGAAAUCCUAUAGCUUAACUAUAGAACUGCUUUGAAAACUGUUAAUCUAGAAUGUGGGAGAGGUAGAUGGAAUUUCUGGUGUAGGGGUAAAAUCCGUAGAGAUCAGAAGGAAUACCGAUUGCGAAGGCGAUCUACUGGAACACUAUUGACGCUGAGAUGCGAAAGCGUGGGGAGCAAACGGGAUUAGAUACCCCGGUAGUCCACGCCCUAAACGAUGCACACUAGUUGUUGUGAGGCUAGACCUUGCAGUAAUGCAGUUAACACAU